CACCGGGACAGGCCAGUGGCCCAAGGCCGGACCCACCCCCCCCAGCAGACACCUGCCUCUCUUCAGACCAGGGCCCAGCCAGGCCACAUCCACACCCGGGCUCAGCAGCGGCUCAGGUCUCGCGGCCUCGCCUGGCCCUGAGGCACGCGACGACCUGGGCUCGCGUCCUCCAGCCGCACUCGUUUAAGCCACCGAGCCCCCAGAGCUCAGGCCGUACAUCCUAAUUUGCGCGUCAGAGAGCAUCCAUCCUUGGGAGAUGGUCCCUCGUUCACCUCACAGCCACCACGCCACCAAGGACACGGCAUCCGGGGACACUUGUCAGCUCCGCCGGGGCCCGGGGGCCGGAGCGCCCCAGGGCAGGGGAGGGAGGCGGGUGGCAGGAGGAGGAGGAGGAGGGCAGAGGCCUCGAGGACACCUCUGGCGGAGCCGCUCCACGGCCAGGGCUCAGUCUGCAGUCAGCGCACCUCGAGGAGGGGACGCCGGGACCCCGAGGGCUAACACCCAGGCUACCGAGGACGGGUGAUGGGCGGGUGGCUAGGCAGACAAGCGAAGAGAGACGGUCUGAAAACCACGUUCAAAGGGAAACAAACGACAAUGUAGUGAAAUGGACAGAUGGAUGAGGAGGGGCGGGAAAUCCUGACGGAUCCAGAACUAGCCAGGAGACUGCACCGGUGAGCACAACUCUCCCAACCAAGACAAGCCGUGGACCCGACGGCUUCGCUGGUGAAACCUACCGAACAUCUGGAGAAGAAGUAACCCCGAUCGUUCCCAAGUUUCUCCAAAACACCGAAGAGGGGAACACUUCCUGACUCGUCCUGCGAGGCCAGAAUGAAGCCAGACAAAGACGCUACACGUAAGGAACGAGGAGCCCAGAUCGGCCUCCGUUGUGAGCACCGGUGCAGAACCGGCCGAGAAAAUACUAGCAGCCAGCUCAGUAGCCUGUCGGAAAGAUCACACACUGUGACCGAAUGGAACUGACGUCGGAAGGGGGGCCCGGCGUAGGGAGACCGAUCAGCUACAACCCGUCACGUCAACAGAACGGGGUAAAAACGCACGACCUGAGUCGCUGCGAAAAAGGCAUGUGACAGAAUUGCCCACCUUUUCCUGCUAAAACCAGUGAAAUCAGGAACGCAGGGAUAGUGCCUGCACGUAAUAAAAGCCACACCUGCAAACCCCACAGCACACGCUACAUCGACGGGAGCUUUUCCUUCAUCGCAUUCGACGCUGUGCUAAACGACGCAGCCAGAGCGGCUGGGCGCGGAAGAGAGAUAGAAGCCAUCGCAAUCGGAAAGGACAAGCAAAACCAUCUCUGCUCGCAGGGGAUGUGAACUUACGUGUAGAAAACUGCAAAGAUCACACAGGCACACACAACACGCCGGGUAGAUCGCUGCAGAAUUCAGCAAGGCGGGCGCGAGUCAAGAAGCACCAAGCAACUGCACUUCUGUGUCGCUUGUAUCAUUUCCACCAACCGCGAACGAUCUUUAAAAGAAACGACUAAAACAAUUCCGUUUACAGGCGCAUCAGAAGGAAUCCGGGAGUUGUGAGUUAACAAUGUAUCGUUUCUACCAACCGCGAGUUAACAAUGUAUCGUUUCCACCAACCGCGAACGAUCUUUAAAAGAAACGACUAAACCAAUUCCAUUAACAGGCGCAUCAGAAGGAAUCCGGGAGUUGUGAGUUAACAAAGGAGGCAAAAGCCGGGUGCGGUGAAACCUGAAGAUAUCAUGCCAAGAAAUGAAAGGAGGGAGGCACAGCCCCCGUCCUGGACUGCAGAGAAGCUGCUGGCACCAGAGUGACGUAGAGAUUCAGCGCUGUCCCCCCAAACCCUGAUGGGGGCCAUCUGUACGAGGGAAUAUCACUCAGCCUUAUAAAGGAAGGAGGUUCUGACACCUGCCCCAUCAGGGAUGGGCCCUGGGGUGGCCCAAAAACCUGCCCCUUGGAGCCCACGCGGAGGACGACCGUGGAGGCCAGGACCACGAUGGGGUCCGGGGGGAAGGGGUGGCGUGUCAGUGGCCAGACCGCCGGCUCAGGGGAAGGAGCCGGACGAAGAUGGCAAUGCUGAUCCUCCUGCCCCUGGAGUCCGGCCCUGGCAGGGGGCCUCACGGGGUGACAGGGCAGGUCCUAGUCCGUAGCGCACCCCUGCCCUCCCCACCACGAGGGGGUGGCUGGGCACUGCCCCCAGUGUUGGGGGCAAGCUCAGUGGAUACGGGGGGAAGCCUAGGAGAGUUGAGAGUUUACCUCUUUCCUGUUGCAAAAAAGUUGUGUUCAUAACACUGAAUCCUUCGGGGGGGGGGGGUCGUGCGUGCCCUGGAGGGGGCAGGGGGCGUGUGACCUCACGGGGGCAGUGGCCACGUGCACCACCCAUCCCCCGCUCCGCAGCCCCACAACCCAGGGCCUGCCCCGGUUGGCAUUCAGUGCGGAUCCACCGGGCGAACGAGAGAGUGGGGCCGACGGCCCCCCGCUCGCAAGGCUCCGUCCUGUUCACGUGUCCCCCAAGAACCCAGCCCUGCCGGAUCCCGGCAGGCGGGAGGAGCCCGUGAUGGGCGAGGUCUGAAUGCACCACGGGCCUCCAGGGUUUGGCCGUCACCUCCGCGUUCCCCAAGUGGAGACACAGGCACCGGCAUCUUUGUGGAGAAGGGGUCACCUGGCCACUAGGGGGUCCCCAAAAGAGCCGUCCUCGGGGCCUCCCUCCCCGCUCUGCCUGAACAUCCACACACCAUCCGGCUUCUCAGCCAUUCCAUAGUUUUCGUUCUUGUUUUCAUGCAUUUCUUAUCGUUUAAAUCCCUUCCUCAGCUGUGCCCCGCGUAGACUCAAAGCACAAGAAACGUCUUCUGAAAGACCUCGAGAUAACUAACUAUCAGGGAUUGCUGAUUGCUGAGACCCGAAUCAUCUUUGUCUCACUCGUGGGGAGAACCUGGUCCGGAGCUACCCCCGCUCUCCCAGGGCUGGCUGCCUGAGAACACGGACUCCCCCUGGAGGGGUGAGGUGUAGGAAUAAUUUAAAACAAUGCUAAUCCUCAAAUCCUGUUUGAGUUUGGAAUGCAGCACGAGGCCCGGCCGGCCACAUGGGGCGCUCACCGUGUGUAAGCGAGGCCCAGGCCCCAGGCGGGGCUGAGCUCGAGGUGCCAUGCUGCCCGCACGCUGGGAGGGGAUGGGGACGGGGCAUGAGGCGGUGGGACGGAUGUUUGCCUGGAGUGCUGGGUGGGGUGGCACUCAGGGUCAAGGCCACAGCCAGGCCCUCAGAGCUGGGUGCUGCGUGCUGGGGCUGCGGGGGCCUCGCCGUGGCUCAAGCACCCCACGGGCAGGCUUGCUGGCCAGCCCGGCCCACUGCUCUCUCUUGAAGCCACCUGUCCGCUGACCUGGGCUCCGGCGGGGGCUGUGGCCCAGCAGGGGCCUUGGAAUGUUUUCACAGGAGGGCUGGAGGCUGCUGCGGGGCUGUGACUGGCCUUGACCGUCCACUUGCAGAGACCGGUGGCGGGGAGCCUGCAUGAGGACUGACCUCUGUCAUCCCGUGGUGUCACCCCUGAUUCGGGCCCUAAGCAAGCCCCAAAGGUGAACUAAAGGGCGCCCAGAGCCUGCCAACAGCCGUCACCUCCCCCCAGGCUCACUGCUCAAGCCUCUGCUGUCGCUCCCCACUUUCCAUACCAGAGGGUCGGGGUCUGUGGCCCCCUUCCCAGGGCCCCACCCCCCUACCCUAUCCCGAGAGCCUCCCAUUGGCCCGCGGCAGGCCCACACCCCAGGUGCUCCCCUCCCCCCAGCUCCCCACUCUGGGUCCUCACCUUUCCUCGUUGCAGCUCAAUACCCCCCACCCCCUGGGAGCCGCACCCACCACCCCUGUGGAAGCCACGCGGCUCCGCCACCGACAGCACAGCCAGCCCAGGGGCCCUCUCGGCCAGCUCCACGUGAUGCCUGUGCGACCCCAGGUGAGGAAUUUGAGCGAACGUUUCUCUAGAGAAGACGUGACGGCCCACAGACACCCAGAAGGGCGCUCGCCAUCAGGGCGGCGCGGAUCGGAACCGCGGUGAGAUAGCGCCGCGCGCCUGUCACGAAGGCUCGAGUAAGGAAAGAUAAGAAGCCACAAGUGUCGGCGAGGACGUGGAGAAAGGGAGCCCUCGCGCGCCGC